rnacentral:rRNA from 1 species
AACGAACGCUGGCGGCAGGCUUAACACAUGCAAGUUGAACGCGUGUAGCAAUACACGAGUAGCGCACGGGUGCGUAACGCGUGGGAACCUUCCUCGUAGUUCGGAGUAACUCAGGGAAACUUGAGCUAAUACCGAAUGCCUCCUCCGGGAGAGAGAUUUAUCGCUACGAGAUGGGCCCGCGUCAGAUUAGGUAGUUGGUAGGGUAACGGCCUACCAAGCCGACGAUCUGUAGCUGGUCUGAGAGGAUGAUCAGUCACACUGGGACUGAGACACGGCCCAGACUCCUACGGGAGACAGCAGUGGGGAAUAUUGGACAAUGGGGGCAACCCUGAUCCAGCCAUGCCGCGUGAGUGAAGAAGGCCUUCGGGUUGUAAAGCUCUUUCAACGGGGACGAUGAUGACGGUACCCGUAUAAGAAGCCCCGGCUAACUUCGUGCCAGCCGCCGCAGUAA